AUGGUCACAGAUCACGCGCGACAAGUUGAUGCUACCAUGAGCAUCGGCUCGCUGUCUGUCUCACUGGAACCACAUGCAAGCGCCCCGUCCGCGUGGCGUCCACUCUUCCUCCACGUUUCGGCUUCCCGGGAAUCUGCAGCCUUCCUUUUCCUCCCUCCGGGCCCGGAUUCCUCCAACCGCGCAACUGGGGCGGCAGCGGCAGCGGCAGCUUCAGCAGCACGAGCGAGCGAGCGAGCGGCAGCGGCGGCGACACGAGCGAGCGCCGGCCCGUCUCCGCCGCGGGCUGCAGCGGCCCGACUCUCCUCCGGCCAUCGCGGGAGCGCGCUCCGACGCCAGCGCCCGCGCAGCUCUGCUCCCCGCCUCCGCCGAUUCCGGGCGGCGAUGGAGGUGGCGCUGCAGGCGUGUGAUGCCGCGGACUGGGUGUACAAGGGAGAGGGCGCGGCCAAUCUCAUCCUCAGCUACACCGGCUCCUCGCCCUCCAUGCUUGGCAAGGUACUGCGGGCCAAGAAGGUCCUAAAUGACAAGGCACAACCAGCACCAAACUGUGUAAACUUCUCAAGCUACGAGCAGCUCGUGUGGGGUGACAUCCCAGAAUUGAUCGAGUCUGUCAAGCAAGGUUCUGUGGCACAAGCUUAUGCAGUACAUGUCAUGAGCCAACAUCUGGGGCACGAUCAUGUUGAUGGCGGGGUUCGUGUCUCUGUGUCUAAGGAUUUUCUGGAGAUUGUUGGAAAGAAUGUGCUCAGUGCCCGUCCUGCUUGGCGAGUGAAUGCAAGCGCAAUUGAUACCAAAGCUGAUUCUGCCCUUCUAAUUUCUGAUCACUCCUUAUUUUCUGGAAAGCCUAGAGGUAGCAGCUGUAUCGCAGUGGAGAUAAAGGCCAAAUGUGGGUUUCUUCCAUCGUCAGAAUAUAUAUCAAAGGAAAAUGUUAUUAAGAAACAAGUAACACGGUACAAGAUGCAUCAACACCUCAAAUUUCAUCAGGGGCAGAUAUCGAAGACAAGUGAAUACGAUCCUCUUGAUCUAUUCUCUGGGUCAAAAGAAAGAAUACGCACGGCCAUCAAGUCAUUUUUCUCGACUCCUCAGAACAACUUCAGGAUUUUUGUGAAUGGCUCCUUAGGUUUUGGUGGCAUGGGAGGUGGUGCUGAUAAGGUCCUUGCUAAUGAAACAGAGAAGUGUCUUGAAGAUCUGAGGAAGGUUAGUGGGCUACAACUAUCUGACUUUAUUGAGCUCCUGUCAGAGGCAAUAUCUAAAUCUGGAGUAUUGGAUAAACUUUUGGCCACUCAAAAACUGGAUGAUCAUGACAUCGAAGGGGCGAUUCAUCUGUAUUACGACAUCAUCUCUCAGCCUUGUUUGGUCUGCAAAAAUAUAACUGAUGCUGAGCUAUUGCACAAGUACUCUGUGUUGCAUUCUCUUCCUUUGGACAAGAGCUGUAAGAUAGUCAGGGACUUUCUUAUUUCUGCUACCGCGAAGGACUGUAGCCUCAUGAUGUGCUUUCGGCCACGAGAGUGUGAGAGAACAGAUCCUGAGUAUGAUUCAGUGUUUCUUCAGUCAGUGAACCGAACCUAUGAUUACAAGGCAUACUUUGUUGAUCUGGAUGUGAAGCCUCUGGAUAAGAUGACACAUUAUUUUAAAUUGGAUCAGAAGAUCGUCAAUUUCUACACUAAGAGCGGGGAAGUCGAUUCUCAGAAGGGGGUUGGCACCAGUGAUGACACAGCGGUUCAGCCACAACAUUGA
rnacentral:rRNA from 1 species